rnacentral:rRNA from 1 species
AGUGAACGCUGGCGGCGUGCUUAACACAUGCAAGUCGAACGAGAACGGAUUAUAGCUUGCUAUAAUUGUCAGCUAAGUGGCGCACGGGUGAGUAAUGUAUAGAUAACCUGCCCUCUAGAAAGGAAUAACAGUUGGAAACGACUGCUAAUGCCCUAUAUGCCUUUAAUACAUAAGUAUGCAAGGGAAACGCUUUAGUGCUAGAGGAUGGGUCUGUAUGGUAUCAGUUAGUUGGUGAGGUAAUGGCUCACCAAGACUAUGACGCCUAACUGGUUUGAGAGGAUGAUCAGUCACACUGGAACUGAGACACGGUCCAGACUCCUACGGGAGGCAGCAGUGGGGAAUAUUGCACAAUGGACGAAAGUCUGAUGCAGCAACGCCGCGUGGAGGAUGACACAUUUCGGUGCGUAAACUCCUUUUAUAUAGGAAGAUAAUGACGGUACUAUAUGAAUAAGCACCGGCUAACUCCGUGCCAGCCGCCGCUGUAAGAC